AUGCUCACUUCAACAGCACAUACGCUUAUAUUGGAAUGAUAUAGAGAAGGUCAAUGUGGCCUUUGUGCAAGAAUGACACAUAAAUUUGUGAAGUCUUCCAAGUUUUU